UGGUGGAGUGAUUUGUCUGGUUAAUUCCGAUAACGAACGAGACCUCAACUUAUUAAAUAGUAGCGCCAAUCUUCUAUACGGGUGAAGCUGGCUUAGGACUGGGCACGCUCGCAAGGGUGGCGCUCAGCCGGGUCAGUGGAUCCUUGAUGCUUUGGCCCUUUUUUAUACUUCUUAAAGGGACUAUCCAUGUUUAAUGGGUGGAAGUGAGGCAAUAACA
rnacentral:rRNA from 1 species